GGCACACUGGGAGAUGCAGUUCCCCCAGCUACACAAAGCUCAGUAUUUAAUUUUUGUUUCUUUAUUAUGAGUACCCACCAUAGCUUUGCACAUAGUAGGUACUUAAUAAAUUUAUAUUGAACUGAACCAAUACCUUCCAUUUAGAACCAUUCUCCAAGUACUUUGUAAAAUGUAAUUCUUUUGUAUUAUUUUUUGAGCAUUCUGGAGUGAGUGGAGUAGGAGGCUUAUCUUAACCUGGAGUCCGUGGACAAAGUCUGUGGUUAAGCUUCAGAGGGUCAAUCAAUGAGCUUGGCUGGAGAAAGGUGAUACCUCUCUUUUCACUAACCAUUUGCAGAAAGCUAGUAUUUCUUUUAAUUAUGAACGAAGCAACAAAUCUGAUUCAGAGAAGCUUCAUCAGACUUCCAAAAGUGAUACGGGACACACAUGAGGUUAAAUACCCCGGAUGAGACGGUAACUACGGAUUUGCCAUUUUUCUAAGCUUGAGGUCUGACUCCAUUUUCCAUUUUUGUUAUAAAAAACACAUUAACAAGAAGUUUCAGAAGUGUGUGCCGAGUACCACUGAGAGAAGUCAUUUCAUCUACACCUUUCUACGGUGCUAGAAGAGGAUUCAUCUAGCCUAGAAGGAGGACAGAGGCCACUCCUUCCAUUGCCUUCAUCUCCAACUCUUCUCAGAGGUAUCUCCUGGUAACAUCGACAAUGCUUACACAAAAGGCACCUGUUAUGGGUCAGCCAUUGUGCUAGGUACUGGAGAUACAAUGAAAUGCAUGAAAUGAUCCCCGAGGCAAGAAACUUCUAAAGGAGAAGAGAAAAUGUAUACAUGUAAAUUUUAAAAAGGAAGCAUUUACACAUCUACAAAAUAAGCACAAGGUAAUUCUGGGAACAGAAGGCAGGAGCAUGAAAGGGAAUAAGGAAAAAUCUCAUAUUGGAGAUGCUACCUGAUCUAGGUUAAAGGAGCCUCAGAUGGUGCGGAUUUCAAUAAGUUCCACAGUAAUCAUCAGGACUCUGUUUUUACAAUUUAUUAGGUCUACAAAUGUCUUGUGGAAUUCUUUGCUAAGCUUUUCUGCACCUUUCAUUGGGAUGCCAUGUGCAGAACAUCAAAGGGUUAUUUUUUUGCUCAGUACCAUUCAUUGCCUACACCCUGAGCUAUCUGCCAUUACAGAUCCCACCUGUUGGAUCAUCUCCAUUGGAGUUUAGUGUUGGAAGAUCUACCUGAUUCACCUUCAAGCUCAGAAAAAAUUGGGAAUAGUUAAUAGGAAAAAAGUCAGUCAAACUAAGAGGGACAAGGAAAAGCUUCCUGUAAAAAAGUAAGAUUUUAGCUGGAACUUGAAGAAAAACAGGAAAGCCAAGAAGCAGAGAUGAAAAGGGAGAGAAUCCCAGGCAUGGAGGACAGCCAGAGAAAAUGCCUACAGUCCGGAGAUGGAAUAUCUUUUAUGAAGAACAGAAAGUAGGUCAGUGUCACUGAUCACAGAGUUCAAAGGAGGGAAUACAGUAUUAGUAGAAUUGAAAGGUAGGAGAGAGAGUACUAAUAUGAAGGAUUUUGAAUGUCAAAUACGAUUUUGUAUUUAAUCUUGAAGGUGAUAGGGAGCCAUUGUAACUUAUUGAGUAGGGGGGUUACCUGAUCAGACUUGCCUUUUAGGAAGAUUAUUUUGACAGCUGAAUGGAGGAUGUACUAGAAUGGAGAGAGAUUUUUGGCAGAGUGACCAGCCAGAAAACUUUCAAUAGUCCAAAUAUGAGAUGAUGAAGACUGGCACGAGGGUGGUGGAAGGGUAAAGUGAGAGAAGGGAACAUAAUAGGGAUAUAUUAGUUGGCAACAAAUUGUGUAUGAUGGAUAAGACAGUGAGGAGUAAAGGAUGACACCCAGACUACAAAUCUGGGUGACAAGGAAGGAUAUUGAUACCUUCCUAAACAAUAGGGAAGUUAGAAAGAAGGCAGUGUUUUAGUGGGAGAUUAUUUCAAUUCUGGACAUGUUGAGUUUAAGAUGUCAAUAGAAUAUCUAGUUUGAGAUACCUUAUAAACAGUUGAAGAUGGGAGACUGGAAAUCGAUAGAGAUAUCAGGGCUAGAUAAGUAUAUUUGAGAAUCAAUAAUUGAAAACAUGGCUAUUGAUCAGAUCACCAAGUGAAUAGAUUAGAGGGAGAAGAGAAGAGGACACAGGACAAAAUACUAUGGAACCCUGCUGUUAGUGGCCAUAACCGGCAUGAAGAUCCAGCAAUGGAAACAGAAGGAUUGGCCCAGUAGGUAAUAGGAGAACCAUUGGGGAGAAGUGUUAUGAAAAUCUAGAGAGAAGAGAAUAUCAAGGGGAGAGCAGUGUCAAAGGCUAGAGAGAAAUCAAGAAGGUUGAGGAUUGAGAAAAAACCAUUAAAUCUUGCAAUAAUUCCUUGCUUCCUCACUCUCUCUCUCUUCCUCCCAAUAUUCAACAUGUUGUCAAUUCCUAUACCUAUCAUCUUCAUAAUAUCACUGUUAUAUAUCCCCUUUGCCCCUCUGACACUGCCACCACCUUGAUGAAGGCCUUCAUUUUAUGGCUGCCCUUUGUAGGGUUAGUAUUAGGAGAGAGUAGGGGACAUGGAUGAGAACUGUUACAAAGGUAUAAACAAUGGGGCCUGCUAUGUUUUAUGUUGCUCAAAAUAUUUCUGUGAUGUUAAACAAUAGUAAUUAAUUAAUCCAGUUGAAUCACUUCUUCUUGGUAGUUCAUUGUGAAGAUUAAAUUUAAUUCUCCCCUGAUUAUGAAAAUGAAAUUAAUUAACUCUCCCCUGAUGGUGAAGAUUAAAUUGUAACUCCUGCCUAUUUUUAAAAUACUCUACUUAAAAGUUGAGUAGGAACAUCUGCCCAUAUUUAGAUUUAAUCACCAAAGGUGUAAACACCCCAUUCACACUUGAGUGGGGGAGGUCUGUGACCCACAUGUGUGAUAGUGGGUGACAAAUCAGAAUUGACUGACUGACUCCUGGGCAGUCCUAAAGUAGGGCUUCAACUGUGAUUGGUAGAUGUAGAAUUAGGAAGGCACAGGAAGUGAUGUAAGAGAAAGUAUCUUUAAAUGGGAGUAACAACUUCCUGAGUACAGUUCUGGCAGUUCUUCAUUCUUUGAAGUGGAGGCUGGUGAAGAAUGUGCUGACUGGACCUCAGACCCUGUUUCCUGGUGAGGCAGUUCUAAGAUCUCUUCCUUUGAACUGACACGUGGUGAGUGAAAAAGCUCACUCUUAAUUGCUGGAUGUUUCUGAAGAGACUACCCUAGGUCCUAGGCUUUUGUUGAGGCCUAAGGACUAACUCUCCCUGCUUGGGACUAUGAAUAAAUUACUUAGUGCUUAAGCUAGUUAUCUUACCCUAUCCUCUCUCUGAUUUUCUUCACUCUUUCAACAAUUUGCAAAUAAAUUGUAAAUAAAUCUCUUUGGAAUUAAUAUAAAUUCCUGGUGACCACACUCUUAAAUAAUCCAGCCCAACCCUUUUAAAGUUAACCCCUUUUGUCUCUUAUAUCCUUGAGUCUUUGAUCACUUCCAUCCAGAUUUAAGUGGAGCAUUAUAAGAAAAAGCAUAAUAUGGAUGCUUCCUGGUCUGUAGUUCAUUUAUUCUACAACUUUUAGUCUUUCCUAGGAGGUCUAUCUCAAAGUAUGGAAAUGUAUUUCUUCCUAAUUUUUUUUUUUUACCAAGGUGAAUUUCUGUCACUGUAUCUGAAAUCAUGAUUAGAGUAGCGCUAUCUGUCAUACUCAGCCAUGAGGCCAUUCUUACCAGCUGGACAACAAAAGCAGACUGCUGAACAUAGGCUCUUUUUAUCUUUUUAUCUCCUUUCUCCCUUAGAGCUGAACCCUGAUCACUCUCACCUCCCUCAUUCCCAGGCAUCAUGCUCUCAGAUGGGAAGGCUGAUGGUCCAAAUUCCACUACCUUGACUAUAUUCUCCCCAUCCCAACUGGCUCUCCUCCCCCUUGCACUUCCAUUGAGCAGAGAGCCAUCAAUUACAACCCCUCCAGUAAGAUCUCAAACCAUCAGUUCUUCUCUGGUGACUUGCAGACCCUUGGGCAUUGACUUGUGAACUGAAGUUGUAUCCUGAGGUCUUCUAAGUCUUAUUAUUUAUCUUGCAAACUGAAUCUUAAGUAAUGCCAGGCCCUGAAUUUCCACUCUAUGAAUUGUCUCUCCCAAUUAGAAUCUUGAGAUCAGGGACAGUCUCAAAUUUCUAUUUCUAUUUGCUACUUUGUAUGAAGUAAUGCUUUUUUUAUUCAUUCCUUCAUUUUGAAUUUUGGUUCCUGGCACUGUAUUGUUAAUGUAGUUAACACUUUGUAAAUGCUUUUUGGGUUGGAUUUUUAUUCAAUAGUUAAGUACUUCCAUAAUUUUGGGGUAAGCUUUUGUGUCAAGCAUAAUUUUUUUAAACCCUUACCUUCUGUCAGUUCUAAGACAGAAGAAUGGUAAGAGCUAAGCAAUUGGGGUUAAGUUCCUUGUCCAGGGUCAUACUGCUAGGGAGUAUCUGAGGUCAGAUUUGAACCCUGGACCUUCCAUUUCCAGACCUGGCACUCUUUCCACUGAGCCACCUAGCUACCCCUGUGUCUGUCAUUCUCAGUCGUUUUUGAAGCCUGUUCAUUUUUUUUAAUAGAUCCUUGAACUUUCUUGAUGAUUUGUGAAAUUCUUUGUGUGACCAAGGGAGUCGUAUACAGGAAUUUUGCACCA